UACGGGGGGGGGCAAGCGUUGUUCGGAAUUACUGGGCGUAAAGGGCUCGUAGGCGGCCAACUAAGUCAGACGUGAAAUCCCUCGGCUUAACCGGGGAACUGCGUCUGAUACUGGUUGGCUUGAAUCCGGGAGAGGGAUGUGGAAUUCCAGGUGUAGCGGUGAAAUGCGUAGAUAUCAGGAGGAACACCGGUGGCGAAGGCGGCUUUUGCUGGGCCAGUUCUGACGCUGAGGAGCGAAAAGCGUGGGGAGCGAACAGG
rnacentral:rRNA from 1 species